rnacentral:misc_RNA from 1 species
AUGAGUUCAAAAUGUGAAAGAAAAAAAUUCAAAUUUUUUAAGAAGAAAUCUGUUCAUGGAAAAACAUCUAAGUGAGAUAGACAUUACAUUUGUGGAAAAAAAAGGGAUAUUUUUGAAAAGAAUGACCUUAAUAUCAAAGAAGGUUGCAAAGCUGACUCAGCAAAUUCACCAAAAGCACUCACUUAUACCUAGAAGAUACAGAUGUUUAAUCCUUAUUCCA